GGUAGUAUAUAAGAAAAAACCCAUAUAUAAUGGCGGUCUUAUUAAUCUAAAGGAACUCGCUUCAUAAUCGUCAACACCCGAUAAUUUUCACUUAAUUGACAAAAUCUAUAUACCGCCGUUACAGAUUAUAUUUCACAAUAACAAUCAAAUAAUAAAACUUUAAAAAAUCAGGUCAAGGUGUAGUCUAUAAUAAAGAGUAAGUAAGUUACACUAAAAAUAAUUUAAGGCAUGAAAUUUAAAAACAACAAAAAAAAGAAUUUAGUUUCACACAAUUUUUAACAUAAAAUUUAGAA
rnacentral:rRNA from 1 species